CACGGCUCCAUCGUGGUAACCUCUCUAAACAAGAAAUACAAUAACAGCCCACAGAGUACAAAUUUCAUUAAAGAAAGUACAACAUAGUAGCCCGCUCCAAAAAAUAAAAACUUAUCAACUAAAACACAUACUCGUUUGGGCAGAAAUUAAUGCGUUAUGUUAGCCUAGUGAAAUUAGAAAAUAAGACUUGAAUACAUAAUGGCAGAGAAGAGUUUAAAAUAAAGAAAUUAUAUGUGAUCUAUUGUUCCAAUAAGAGCAAUAUAGGUGGAUUAACGAAUGAAGAUGCAAGAUUAUGCUAACGAGAUUACGAGCUGCAUGAAGCUGGCCGUCUCCCACCAGGGUGUUGAUAAAAGGUUUUCGAAGAUAACUGAACUACAUUAUUCCAGCCCAAGGUAAUAUAGCAUUAUACAGAGUGGGGUGCUGAACCUCCUGCAGACCGUUAGAAAACUAAACGGUACCGUCAAUAUGGAAUGACCGAGCUCUGUAAAACCAAUAGGAGAUAGGCACUCCACCCCAGGUCCUAGGACAAAUCUAACUAGAGCAGCGUCUAGCUUAUAAGAUUGCUGCAUUUGCUAAGGAAACACCUCGUAUCCAUCGGUCAUGACCGCUUUUUAGGUUGUUUGGGAUUCAAAUUCUUUUAUUUGCAACUGAUAUGUUGUUACUAAAGCCUAGCAUUUUUUAUCAGCGUGAAGAGAUCAUUACCCCAGCCUAACAUAUAAUUCAUAUUAGUGUUUUAUGGAUAUAGGCAAAAAAGAGAGCCAAUCUCCCGCGAUAAGAGGGAAAGUAUAGAAAACGAAUACAGAAUCGAUUUCUAGCAGAGCUCAAAGAUAGCAGGGAGCCACCACAAUGUAGGCUGACUUUAGCACAGAUUAGAAGUAAUCGCCCGCAACAAUAAACGCUACGCCGAGACGCAUAAAAUUUUAAUGCAACAACUUGUAGCCAAGGUUAAUAAAUGAAUAACAACUAAAAUACGGCUGUUGGGGUUCUUUCUCCAUGUUUGCUUCGGAUUCGCUUCCAUCACUGCAAAACUAAAGCAAGACAAGCCCAAGACCAUCCUAUUGGGAAUGCAAAAGCAAUUUUCUGGAUUAGCGGUGAAAGAUUUUAAGCAAUUUGUUGAUAAUAUUAGAUCUGAAAAUUGUACCUAAAUCUCUGUAAAACAAAAAAAAAGGAUAUUAAUCCACCAAAUGCGAAACUAAGGGAGAGCCAUGACAAAACCGUGCCGGAGGUAGCCGACAGUGCAUCGUCGUCAGUGGAGUGUAGCCGCACCACUAACUCAGGUUGUAAUUUUCCCUCGUAGUGCUAUUUCUCCUGACUGUCCCAGCGGACUGGCUGAACGCACUGUUGCCGCAUCUAACACCAUGGAAAGUUAAAAUUCUGGAGGCACUACCAGAGGAAAUAAAUAAAAUAAUAAAUAGACUCAUAUUUUUGCCAGCUACUGCCCAGCGUCUGAAAAGGACAAGAAGACCUUUCGACUGUUAGAUUAACGAGUUCUCUACAGAGAGCAGAGGCUGUUACAAUCGCCAUGGGGCAGCUAAGAAACCACAAAUUAAAAUUUGAACUUUGCUUGGGUAAAAAAGAUUGCAGCACAGUGUAGCGAGCUCCGUCGCCCGGAAAGGCGCUUAUUUUAAAUAAACGAGUCACUUAUACAGCCCUUGUAUAUAUAUGAAAUCAAUUUUCCACUAGAAUCACUUUGCCCCAAAUUCAAGCAACAAAUUUGAGUGAUCGAAUCGGAGUAUGACACUAAUGUGCUCUAUUAAACGAAGCACCCAUUAAAGGUGCUCACAAAAGAUCCGGACGGUCAAUCGAUAUAUUCCCUGGUGGAAUAACACUACAACAUUCUAUAACCUCUAUAACAAAGAUCUAAGAAGAACCACUGUGGAAGAAUCAAAAGGCAAUUGACAAAUAUUGCUCAAAAGGGAUAUGUACACUUAAGAAGCCAGAUGGUAGCAAAUGAGGGCAAACUGCUGGAAACUCACUUUCCGGGCUGUGUGGCACAGAAGCGAAGGUGAAAAUUCUCGCUACCAUCGAAAUGAGAAAGAGAUGGGGCAGUACAUCCCAGGAACCCAGAAUCGACGACCCCGCAAUGGUGUUUCAUUAAAGUAGUGUGGCCAUGAAAACCUUUAGUCCAAAUUAACCUUUAGGACUAAAUGGCACACGUCUAUGCUUUUUAAGGCAUGCAAUGGAUUAAGUUGUUUCCACUUCGGUCCUAAUAUUUACCGUUUACAGUUUCAUUUCAAAUAAAUAUAGGCCAUAGGCCAAGAAAUAAGUACUAA